UUUUUUUUUUUUUUUUUUAAUUUUACGGCUGACCUGCAGCACAUGGAGGCAUAUGGAGGUUCCCAGGCUAGGGGUUGAAUUGGAGCUGUAGCUGCCAGCCUAUACCACAGCCACAGCAACGCUGGAUCUGAGCCAUGUCUGCAACCUACACCACAGCUCAUGGCAACGCUGGAUCCUUAACCCACUGACAAGGGCAGGGAUUGAACCUGUGUCCUCAUGGAUACUAGUCCCAUUUGUGUCUGCUGAGCUACGACAGGAACUCCCUAAAGGCAGUUUUAAGUUCACAGUACAAUUGAGUGUAAAGUACAGAGCGAUCCUGUAUACCCUCUGCUUCCCCUUCUACAGCCUCCCCCAACUGUCAACAUCCCCUACCAGUGUGGUAUCUUUGUUACAAUCAAUAAGCCUACACUGACACAUAAUUAUCACCUAAAGAACACAGUUUACAUUAGGGUUCCCUCUUCUGGUUUCAUGGGUUUUGACAAAUGUAUAACAUCAUGUAUGAUUUUAUAGAAUGGUUUUGCCCCGCUAAAAGUCCCCUGUGCUCUGCUUACUCAUCUCUCUCUCUCCUCUAACCUCAGACAACCACCAGUCUCUUUACUGUCUCCAUAGUUUUGCUUUUCCCAGAAUGUCAUAUAACUGGAACUAUAUAGUAUGUAGGCUUUUCAGGUUGGCUUCUUUCAUUUAGUAACGUGCGCUUAGGUUUCUUCCACAUCUUUUCAUGGCUUGAUAGCAUCACAGUUUUGUAGCUUCUUCUUGGCGUUAGUGAUAGUCCAUUGUCUGAAUGUACCACAGUUUGUUUAUCCAUUCACCUAGUGAAAGACAUCUUGGUUGCUUCCAAGUUUUUGCAAUUGUAAAUAAAGCUACUAUAAGCUAUUUACAGUAUCCAAGACAUGGAAGAAACUGAAGUGUCCAUCAAAAGAUGAAUAGAUAAAGAAGAUAUGGUAUAUACACACACAAUGGAAUAUUACUCAGCCAUAAAAAGAUGAAACAUUGCCAUUUGCAGCUACAUGUAUGGACCUAGAGAUGAUCAUACUGAGUAAGCCAAACAGAGAAAGACAAAUAUUAUAUGAUAUCAUUUAUAUGUGGAAUCUAAAUAAAAUACAAAUGAACUUAUGUACAAAACAGAAACAGACUCAUGGACACAGAAAACAAACUCAUGGUUACCAAAAGGGGAAAGUGGAAGGGAGGGAUACAUUAGGAGUUUGGAAUUAGUUGAUAUAAACUACUAUAUAUAAAUACAUAAAUGACAAGAUCCUACUACAUAGCACAGGGAACUAUGUUCAGUAUCUCACCCUCUGUUAACCACCCCAUGUGAACCUCUAGAGAAGCAGUAGGUCCACCUUGCAGAGUGGCAUUUCAGGAAUAGCAGGACCCAAACUGAAACUCAAUGGGCUCAUCCAAAGGCACAUCCUCUCCUGCUUAAGCACAUGGGGUGGGGAGUGACUCUAGGUAGUGGCAAAAUUAAGGAUCCAGAUAGUAGUAGCUCCCUCCCCAGGUACACACUACCCGCCAAGGGCAUGAUCCCCCAGCAGAACGUGAGCUCAUAAAGAAAAAUAAGACAUUGAGUAGUGCAGUCUCUAUAACAGAAAAUCCAAAAAGAU
rnacentral:lncRNA from 1 species